AGUUGAUCCGUGGCUCAGGACGAACGCUGGCGGCGUGCCUAACACAUGCAAGUCGAACGGGGAUUUGUUUCGGCAGAAUCCUAGUGGCGAACGGGUGAGUAACGCGUAGGCAACCUGCCCUCCGGCCGGGGACAACACUCCGAAAGGGGUGCUAAUACCGGAUACGAAGUCUGUGCCGCAUGGUACGGAUUUGAAAGAUGGCCUCUAUUUAUAAGCUAUCGCCGGGGGAUGGGCCUGCGUCCGAUUAGCUGGUUGGUGGGGUAACGGCCUACCAAGGCGGCGAUCGGUAGCCGGUCUGAGAGGAUGAACGGCCACAUUGGGACUGAGACACGGCCCAGACUCCUACGGGAGGCAGCAGUGGGGAAUCUUCCGCAAUGGGCGCAAGCCUGACGGAGCAACGCCGCGUGAGUGAGGAAGUUCUUCGGAACGUAAAGCUCUGUUGUUCCUGACGAACCUCCCUUCUAUCAACAACGGAGGGGACUGACGGUAGGGAACGAGGAAGCCACGGCUAACUACGUGCCAGCAGCGGC
rnacentral:rRNA from 1 species